AUCUGUCUGGAGAUCUCUGUCUUCCUGAGGCCUUUUGAAGGUAAGUAUUUAUUUACUUACUUAUUUAUUUAUUUAUUUAUUUGCAUUCACAGCUGUUGUUGUAUUUGGUCUUGUCUGUAUUUGCUGCAGCCAUUGACUUUGCCACUCUGCUAUUGUCAUUGGGUUUUCCAUUACUCAGAGGGCUUUUUCGAAGCAACAGAGUGAGUAACUUUCAGCAGGAGGUUAUCACAUAGGCUUAGAAAACAAAGUAAACAUUUUCCUGAAGCCCACUUGUAGAAUGUUCUGUAUACUCUUGAACUUAGAAGUUGAAAUAUAUCAUUCCUUGUUCCUAAGUUGUAGUAUGCACAGAAUAUAGGAUGGCUCACUGUGGUGGUCAUACUAUUCAGAAUUAGUAAUCUAAUUUGACCAGGAUGUGAUCCCAGGCCACUGAAGAUACUGUUGCCCUAUUUUUUAAAGGGAUUUUAGCACCUAAUUCUUACCAGUUUCAGUGAGAUUCGUGUGCAUAGGUCCUCAGAUCAAGUUUACUUCCACUCAUAAUGUAAAAAUGUGAGGUGGUGUAAUAGAAGCCCCCUAAGCCCUGUGUUGGUAGACAUUAUGGGUACGUACUGUAGCUCCCUGACUUAAGUAAUGCAUUCAGGUGACCUACUGUAGAUGUCUUCAUCUGUCAAAACCAGGAAACAGGGUAGCUAAGAGACGAUUCUGGAGUAUUCUGAGAUGACAGCAGUCUGGUAUUUAAGGAGGUUAAUGCAAUACUAACAGGGGCCUGACUAAAGAGUUCAUAAGACAGAUGAACCCACCUGAAUUUUGAGAGUUUGAGCAGCUCCCACUGUGGUUUCUGAAUGCUUUGGUGCUGAGCAGCUCCUCAAUUCCCUCUGAGGCACAAUCAUUUGUUUACUUGCUCUGCUCAUUUCAUUCUGCACUUGUGUAUGGCAACUACAAGAUGGCAUGUCGACUCUGAGAAUUUGGGGGGAAAAAGGGAGGGAGACAGUUAAAAGUUCCAGCCCUGAAAGCUUUUGACACAUCUUUCUGUCCAUGUAAUCAAUCUUCUAAGUUUCCAAGAGCAGCUGAGAUUUUUAAAAACAGCUGUAAUCUGUGGUCAUUGAUGGUGGAGUAGAUUGUUUGCCAAACUAUUACCAUAACUGUCAACCGAAAUCAGAAAAAUAAUCUCAUUGUGCUGGACAGAUGCCUUUCCUGCAUUAUUGAUAUAGUCGCUGCAGAGUAAUGGAGAAAUAUAAAGCAUUGUUCUAUUUACAAAAGGAGAUUGGCCAAGUCCUUGAGAGUGAGCAGGAGGGACAGGCACUUAAAGGAAGUGAGAUAUAGUCAACUCAGUAAAAGUUAUGUGUCAGGGUCAUGUGGCCUCCAUAGUCAGCAGUAGAAUCUCAGUUUUCAAUAGCUUUUCCUCUCCUUUCUCACUUUCAGAUUUAGCUCCAAAGCUUAAUCUCUGACUAAAUGAGCUUACUAGUGCUUCAGUGCAGCACCAUGGAAUUCGCACAGCUUUUUCCUCUUGCCUCUGGCUGCCCCAAAUGCAUCUCGGGGACUGCCACGCUUCCAGAACAUGCUGAAAACAGUGCAUUCACCAUGCUCCACUUGAUAGCAAGGAUAAAGCAAGUCAGCACUGCCCAGUAGGAUACAAUACAGGAGAGUUUUGUUUGCUUGCCAUCGAGAUACUUCUGAAAACACUGUGCAAAGCAAUGAACUAAAUGUGAGCAUUGCAGCAAAUCCUUAGGCAGAUGGAGCAGCCAGCCUGCAUUUAGCCGUAGCGCCCACAGAGUCUUUUGCUGUUACAAAUGUUUGUAUAUAGAGAGGGGCCCAAUUUUGCUUCAGAAUCUGCUACAGUGAACCCAUAACCCCAAGUUCCCCAUUUAUAGCACAAAUGAAUAAAUAUCUAUAUAUUCAGAGGACUGGAGGUGGUACUGGAGCUUCUAUUUUCAUCUGAACACCAUGCAGGGGUCAAGUACAGUGAAAGUCCCGUGAUCAGCUGAGGACAGGCUCUGGGAGAUGCAUGGUUUCAUGUCCCCUUUAAUUUUAAUUUAUUUUAAAAUUACCUCACAUUUCACUGCAGGGAAAAGUUUCUCUUCUCAUCAGCUUUUUGAAAAUAUAAAAUUGGAUUUUAUUAUUUUUUUUUUUUUAGCAGGAAUUAUCAGUGUAAGUAGCCCUUGGUUUCUCUUGAAAAGAGAGAUUAGCUGUUACAAAAUGACAGCGGUUUUUAGCUUGUUCUUGUUGAAAAGCAGCUAUCUGAGAUCCAAGCCUUAUUUUGGAAGUAAUAUAAGUACUCUUCAGUAGCUUAAUGUUUUGAGGCAAUACAUGGCUUUUGCCUUUCCUUCUGGGGACAAAAACAUACAGAUGCACUCUUUGUCUCACCGCAAAUAAAGAUGGAAGUAAAAUCAGUUCAUCAAAUGUGGUGUAAUGAGAAUUAUUGUCAUGGUAUAAAAAUAAAUUAAUUAACAACAACAAAA